rnacentral:rRNA from 1 species
AACGAACGCUGGCGGCAGGCUUAACACAUGCAAGUCGAACGGAUGUAGCAAUACAUCAGUGGCAGACGGGUGAGUAACACGUGGGAACCUUCCUCGUUGUACGGGACAACUCAGGGAAACUUGAGCUAAUACCGUAUACGUCCGAGAGGAGAAAGAUUUAUCGCAAUGAGACGGGCCCGCGUCGGAUUAGCUAGUUGGUGGGGUAACGGCCUACCAAGGCGACGAUCCGUAGCUGANCUGAGAGGAUGAUCAGCCACACUGGGACUGAGACACGGCCCAGACUCCUACGGGAGGCAGCAGUGGGGAAUCUUGCGCAAUGGGCGAAAGCCUGACGCAGCGACGCCGCGUGAGGGAAGAAGGCCUU